GCGCUUGCUUGGAUAGCUCACAGACUAAAACUGGAACAAUACAGAGAAGACAGGCGUGACCGCUGUGCCAGGACGGCAUGCAGACUCGGGAAGUGUUUCAUGUUUUU